CUCCAUUUGAUUCAGAUGGUAACUCAGAUGGAGGUAAUACAGUAGAUUCUACGCAUGUGCUUUCUGACAAAUGUGAGCUGGUCGCAAUGUUACCAUUUUGAUAAACUGGCAUUGGUGCAGUCAUGCCAGCAGAAGCAGCAACCUCAGCACAAUUCACCUCCUCCUCAUCAUCACCUUCUAAAUGUGAGCUUGUAACAAUGUUACUAUUUUGAUAAAGUGGCACCAGUGCAGACACGCCAACAGAAGUAGCAACCUCAACACAAUUCACCUCCUCCUCCUCCUCCUCCUCAUCAUCAUCAUCCCAGUCUUCCUCUUUAAACGGUGCUCCAUAUUGGGCACCAUUCUUUGGGCCAGGACCGUCCUUCUUAAACACUGAACAGAUCACAUAAGCAUCCUGAGCAAAUCCUCUGAGAUCCACCCCCUUGUCUUCAAGUCUAUAUUCAUGCAUAACCCAAUCCGUUCGGUCCCCUUUUGGUGCUUUACCUCUGUGAAAAACCAAGGUUUUUAUCAUCCCCACAACUUCAUCAUUGUAAUGAACACAUCUAUCCUUGCCUGUGGUUUUCCAAUACCCGAAUUCAGUAGCACGGUUCAUUCUAGUUCCACUUGCAUAUUUCUUCUCUCGUGGGCAAAAGAAAUACCACUUCAGAUCCCCAGUCCGCAAACAAGAUUUAUCCGGAAGAUCCCAAGGAGGAAACUUGUAAAUAUCGACCUCUGCAAUGGCAUCAAAAUGAAGCUUCUUCCCCAUCACUUUUCUCUUCAAAUAGUACUUCACAAGUUCAACAUCAGUAGGAUGAAACCGGAACCCUGGAGGCAAUGAUCUUUUCCCCAUAAUUCAAGCGUUAAAAAAGCCCACUGUGUGCAGAAGUUAUUAAAUCCAAUAUACGCUGUUACUUCAAGGCGCAAUCCAAAGAGUGGUUGUACAGAAGAUCACCAAAUCCCUAAAUCCUACAAAGCAGUUUUGCCUCUUGCAAAGAAGAUUAAACGAGAUGUCUAACUUUUAAACAGAAGUAAAACAGGAAACAAGGCAUCAAGUCCAAUGGCGAAACACUAUCUUCUGCGAACACCACAGUCUCCCCCGGCUCAUAAACCCAAAGUCACACCAAAGAUAUGCCCAAUUUUUCUUGCAGAAAUCAAAAGACAUUUGAUGUGCAAUAUAAACCCAAGAAGAGGAAUAGGACGCCAAGGGAGAGGAGAGAGCGCCGAAAAGAGAAGCAGAGCUCAAGCCACC
rnacentral:misc_RNA from 1 species